AUUCCAUGAUGAGGGCACUUUCGUAAUAAUUCUUUGUACCUUUCCCAUGCCUCAUACAAAGACUCAUCAUUCAUUUGUUGGAAAGCGAUGAUCUUGUUCCUUCACU
rnacentral:snoRNA from 1 species